UAGGGAAUCUUCCGCAAUGGGCGAAAGCCUGACGGAGCAACGCCGCGUGAGUGAUGAAGGUCUUCGGAUCGUAAAACUCUGUUAUUAGGGAAGAACAAAUGUGUAAGUAACUAUGCACAUCUUGACGGUACCUAAUCAGAAAGCCACGGCUAACUACGUGCCAGCAGCCGCGGUAAUACGUGGGUGGCAAGCGUUAUCCGGAAUUAUUGGGCGUAAAGCGCGCGUAGGCGGUUUUUUAAGUCUGAUGUGAAAGCCCACGGCUCAACCGUGGAGGGUAAUUGGAAACUGGAAAACUUGAGGGCAGAAGAGGAAAGUGGAAAUCCAUGUGUAGCGGUGAAAUGCGUAGAUAUAUGGAGGAACACCAGUGGCGAAGGCGACUCUCUGGUCUGUAACUGACGCUGAGGUUCGAAAGCGUGGGUAGCAAACAGG
rnacentral:rRNA from 1 species